rnacentral:rRNA from 1 species
AUUGAACGCUGGCGGCAGGCCUAACACAUGCAAGUCGAGCGAGCGGCGGAUGGGUGAGGAAUGUCUGGGAAACUGCCUGAUGGAGGGGGAUAACUACUGGAAACGGUAGCUAAUACCGCAUACCAUCAGAUGUGCCCAGAUGGGAUUAGCUAGUAGGUGGGGUAACGGCUCACCGAGGCGACGAUCCCUAGCUGGUCUGAGAGGAUGACCAGCCACACUGGAACUGAGACACGGUCCAGACUCCUACGGGAGGCAGCAGUGGGGAAUAUUGCACAAUGGGCGCAAGCCUGAUGCAGCAACGCCGCGUGUGUGAAGAAGGCCUUCGGGUUGUAAAGCACUUUCGGCGGGGAGGCGUUACCCGCAGAGGAAGCAACGGCUAACUCCGUGCCAGCAGCCGCGGUAAUUC